rnacentral:rRNA from 1 species
UACGUAGGUGGCAAGCGUUGUCCGGAAUUAUUGGGCGUAAAGGGCGUGUAGGUGGGUAAUUAAGUCUUGUGUCUAAGUGCGGAGCUCAACUCCGUAUGGGCGCAGGAAACUGAAUAUCUUGAGUGCAGGAGAGGAAAGUGGAAUUCCCAGUGUAGCGGUGAAAUGCGUAGAUAUUGGGAGGAACACCAGUGGCGAAGGCGACUUUCUGGACUGUGUCUGACACUGAGGCGCGAAAGCCAGGGGAG